rnacentral:lncRNA from 1 species
UCCCGUCCCGGGGUGAGCGUGUCUCACCUCCAUCCUCCCGUCCCGGGGUGAGCGUGUCUCACCUCCAUCCUCCCGUCCCGGGGUGAGCGUGUCUCACUCUCCAUCCUCCCUGUCCCCUGGGGUGAACUCACCUCCAUCCUCCCCAUCCACGAGGGUGAGCGUGUCUCACCUCCAUCCUCCCGUCCCGGGGUGAGCGUGUCUCACCUCCAUCCUCCCGUCCCGGGGUGAGCGUGUCCCUCCAUCCUCCCUUGUCCCCGGGAUGAGCGUGUCCCUCCAUCCUCCCGUCCCGGGGUGAGCGUGUCUCACCUCCAUCCUCCCGUCCCGGGGUGAGCGUGUCUCACUCUCCAUCCUCCCUGUCCCCGGGUGAGUGUGUCUCACCUCCAUCCUCCCCGUCCCCAGGGUGAGCGUGUCUCACUCUCCAUCCUCCCUGUCCCCGGGUGAGCGUGUCCCUCCAUCCUCCCUGGCCCCGGGUGAGUGUGUCUCACUCUCCAUCCUCCCUGCCCCCGGGUGAGCGUGUCUCACCUCCAUCCUCCCUGCCCCCGGGUGAGCGUGUCACAGCUCCCUCCGCCCCAGCACGCGGCCCUGUCACACAUCAGACCCCUAGACCUCUGGGAGCAGGAUUGCUCCGUGAAUCAGGACCGACCCUGCUCUCGGGGACUCAGUGUCCUGCAGAGAAAUGGGACGGAGCCGGUGCCCUUCGGCAGCUCUGGGCACAGCUCAUGGGCUGGGCCCACGGGGCUGUAGGAGGAAGCCGCUGUCGACCUGCAUUUGGGGGCCAGGAGGAGCCUCCGCAGGUGUCCGGGAGGGGCGUGGUGAGGCAACAGGGCUGCCUGUGCCCGGGCACCGCCGUGGAUGCCAGGAGGGGUGUACACGGCGGGGACUCAGCAGACCCAUGGUGGGCUCCAGGCCGCUCUGUGCGGGCAUGCAGCCCAGCACCCAGGCCGCCUCCGCCCCGGGUGGCGCCGCCCAGCGGGCUCUCCGGCCAUCCCUGGUCCCACUGCAUGGCGGGCAGGCCUCUGCCCUCCUUCACUGUGGCCGUGCUGAGGGUGACCUCACGUGUGGUGCCCACUCCCUGCCCUGUGUGCACAGCGGGCCGGGCAGGGGCAGCAGCAGGGGAGCAGGGGCUUGUCCCAUUUCCUCCCUCGAGCGGGCCGGGCGGCUCAGCUCACGGGAGUCUGGUGUCCCACAGGCAGAAGAGGAGAAGAGGAAGAGGAAAGAGGAGGCUGCCGGGAAGAGGCAGGAGCAGGAGGUAGCGCCUGCCUGCGAGGGGCUUCCGCGGAAGGCACUUUACCCACUCUGCCGCCUGUGUCUCUCACAGCCUAGCUGCCCCCACCUCUGUCCCCCACAUCCACGUGGUGCCCCAGGGAGGCGGCGGCUGCGGGCUGGCGCCUGCCACCCUGGCCCUGCCGUGUGCCCGCACCCCUCUGUCCUACAGAAAACCUCCACUUUCCGCCUUUAA